rnacentral:misc_RNA from 1 species
GAUGAAGAACGUAGCGAAAUGCGAUAAGUAAUGUGAAUUGCAGAAUUCAGUGAAUCAUCGAAUCUUUGAACGCGCAUUGCGGCCGCCAGUAUUCUGGCGGGCAUGCCUGUUCGAGCGUCAUUACAACCCUCAGGCCCCCGGGCCUGGCGUUGGGGAUCGGCAGAAGCCCCCUGUGGGCACACGCCGUCCCUCAAAUACAGUGGCGGUCCCGCCGCAGCUUCCAUUGCGUAGUAGCUAACACCUCGCAACUGGAGAGCGGCGCGGCCAUGCCGUAAAACACCCAACUUCUGAAUGUUGACCUCGAAUCAGGUAGGAAUACCCGCUGAACUUAAGCAUAUCAAUAAGCGGAGGA